rnacentral:lncRNA from 1 species
CUCAUCAAAGUAUGGGACAUUUCCUUCAUUUCAUUUCAUCGUUAAACUUUUAUCCAAAUUUAUACAAUACGAAUACAAUUAUACAAGGAAUCCAUUUGCAUUUCUUACCCCAAAACUUUUACCAUUUCUUAACUGAUCAUCUUCCAGACUCUACGGUACACUUGUUAUGGUAAUAACGAGGAACAAGAUAUCCCAAGCCAACCGCACCACAUCUUUCUCUUCACCUUCAUUCCUCACCAAGCUGCUUAGCUAACAGAUCAACAGGUAAGGAACCCAGUGGAACUGGUGAUUCCAUCUCUUCCAAUGACUCAUUCACCAAGUAUUCAUCAUCAUCAUCAUUGUACAUCUCAUCUUCACUAUAAUCCUCACUAUUAUAACCUUCAUGCUCUGCCUUUGUACCACCAGUUCCAUCUUCACUUGACAUCACUAAAGCUGGAUAGGAGUGCUCGGUGGCCUGUGAAAUGCCUUCGAAUUCCUCUACUACCUUCAAAAGAGCAUCCGGACCAAGACCAAUCUCAUCCAGCAACAAUGCUUUGCUCGACUCAAUUGCACUCUUCCACAGAGACAUCAUUUUAGGGCUUGCGCUCACUGCUUUAGUAUCCAGUCUAUGAUGGUUGCUCUUGGGAACGCCUGCCAAACAAGCAAGAAAAGAAAAAAGGGGACAUGGAACCAUCAAAAUGGAAUCCAAGCUACAACAUGGUAGUAUGAGUCAUCUGGUCGUAAAUAUUAUCAAGCAGUGGCAUGGAACAAUGGACAAAGGCAGCUUGACAAUCAAGCAUGAUUGACAAGUGUUACUAGAAAAAAAAAAUCCUUUUGGACUGAAAAGGAUGAAAUGCAUGAUUUCUAAUGGUAUGUUUUUAAUCUCCUGCAAUUCUUUGUUGCUCUUAUAACAACACACCAUAUCUUAUUGGGAGUGUGAGAACAAUUUCUAUCAAAUGAAAAGAAGUUUUCCCCAGAUACAAAAGUUUAAAAUUAUGAUUCAAAAACUUGAUAAAUAAAGAAAAGGAGAAUAAAGGAGCGUUCCAUAGAGAAAGUGCCCUACUAGCUAGGAUCUUUUAAAGAAAAACAGUCAAAUUCAAAAAUAUUAUCCUUGGGAAUGCAAUUUCCAGGAAACUGCUUCUCUUGCAAGUAGUGACAUCUGACAAGAAGCCCAAAAAACAGGAAUUAGGGCAUACCUGAACCUUCCAAGCCACUUGCAACAUCAGCAACAACAGGAAUGAGGAAAGAAGGAGCUCCUUGGUACAUUGAUUUCCAACCAUGUCCCCUCCAUGUUAAUAUCUGUUCAUCAUCAAAAGAAAGUAGCACACAAGGAACCGAUUCCUGUCCAGGGUUGAGAGGAAAAAUGUUAGAAGACAGCGGCAACCGUGUAAGCUGAAAACAAAGCAUAAAUAAACUACUGCAACUAUGGGGUUCAGAAUAUAAAUCUUGUCCAAUCAAUCCAGUCAAUCAUGUGAAGAAUUAAACCUUCAGUCUAAACACUCUGAUGACUUACAAGAACAGAAAGUUAAACAAACCUUAAGCUUAGCACCUAUCUUUUUGUAAUCACUUGCAUGCAUCCCUUUACAGUCAAUCUUCACCAAUGGACUUCCUUCAAAAGCAUCCCUCACAUCUUUCACUAAGGAAAUAUAUACUCCAUUUUUCACUGCAUUCUAGAGAAAUAUGUAAUCAGAAUGCACCUACUAGUAAUGGACAACAUAACAUAAGCUGAGCUCAGUAAGGGUGCAUACAUAUUAGUAGGACUGGAAAAGAAAUUUUGAGCAAAAUGAUUUUCCACAUGAUGGUGCAAAUUCAUAUUUUAUUUUAUUUUGUUUAUGUUUUUAUAGGUAACUCUGUUUCAUUCCCUGCUAAGACCUGAAGUUGGAACCUCUCACAUCCCCAACCUAGGCCCUUGCCACUUUUAACAUGUAACAAAUUUUAAGCAUUGAUUUGAUAUGUAAAAGUACAUAUAACUGGGAGAGAGCAUGAUUGAAUUCAGAAGUUUAAAGUGUCACCUGAAGCAAAAGGGUAGCUACCCAGAAUAGAAUAUACCAAUCAGUUGAGACCAUGUCUUACAUGGUGCAAUGACAAUUGAAAAAUUAAGGGCAUAUUUGGCAUCGGUUUCCAUUCCUGCUUUACUGUUUCCGUUUCCAAAAGAGUGAGAGUUUUGCUAAAAACAUGUUUGGGUCCACCUGUUUUGUUUUUGUUUUUCUGAAAACAAUUGCCAAAUAUGUGGCAAUUUAAGGUAGUAAAAACAGGAUGUUUAGGAAAAGGAAAAAGUAAUAUGCUUGGAAUAUGUCACUCUAUCAAGUGUGUGUGUGAGAGAGAACAAAAUAAAAUGGUAUUUGAAUUCUUAACGUGAUAUUCAAAUCCAGGCAAAAUAAAUUGGUAAAGAACCAGUGGUGGAUGAUUUACCUAAUCGACAGAUUGGUAUAAGAUUUUCCCCUUCAUUCGCAACUCGUCAGCUUCAAAUUUUGUCAAUCCUUCUGGGGCUUCUUGUAUGAGUUUUGGAUAAACAGGAGCAGCUGGUUUCCAGAGCAUCACUGGGUACUGCGGACGAGUACGAUAAUUGUAGUUUCUGCCACGAAAAAGAUAAACUACACCACCAACUCGAUGAAUGAUUUUACCCCCAGUCUUUUCCUGGAAUUGUGAAGAACACUAAAGUGCAAACCAAACAAAAAAUUUAUCUAAUUUUCAUAGUUAAUAAUGGAGAUGUAGGAUGUUGUUUCACUCUGAUUAUUAGCUGGAAUGGCACAUUGACAACAGAAAAGUUAAAAACUUCAAACAGGGUGUUUAUUAUGGGAUUUUUUUUCAGGAGACCUUAAUCACAUGAUAGGUGAGGUCUUCUAGUUCAAGGGAACAAUGGAAUGGAGUGAGAAUUGAAAGGGGUUGGAGAGAAUGACAAUAGACCCAAAUGGCAGACUCAAAGAAUGAGCUUCUGAAACGAAGAGUUAGUUAUACCAAAGCCAAUUAGUAGGAGUUUCUUGAAUAAAAAUCAACUACAUUGAUAAAUCAUAUGAACCAAUACGACAACACCGUGUGUAAAUGGAUUAAUAAAAUGACACCAUGUGCAUAAUCAAUUGAUCUUUCAGGACGAAGAUCUGGUGGUAUGGAAACAUGUCCCGAGAGAUAGUCUACCCCUUCUCUUGUUCCCUUUGAGACCUACUCAAUAAUAUAUGGCACAAUCCCACUUGGGGGAACCUCCAACUCUAGCCACCAAAAUAAAAACCAUCCCAUACACUCGAUGGAGCCCACUGCAACUGGGUAACAAACUUAACUAGGUUUCCUUUGGCUAUGCACGAAACUUAAGUAAACAAGAAGCAUCUAGGUGUUAUGCCACAAGGCAUUUUCAAUACAUGUAAGAGAUAUUUUUCUAUGAUGAUAACACACUUGGAGUCCACUUAGCAGUGCUUUUAGAAAACAUUUCUAGUAUAAAAAGUGCUUUUGGAAAAAUUAAGGCAUUUGAAAAAAUUUAGAAAGCACUUUAAAAAAAUUGAAAAAUCACCAGUACUUCCUAGAGAAGCACUUGAUGAUUAAUCCUCCCAAAAUUUUCUAGCUUUUCAAAUAGAAACACUCUCAAACAUACUCUUAGGAGUUAGGAUCAUUUUGGGGGAGUAUGAAGACAACUACUGGAGAUAUCUUUUUAAUGGAAUAAGAAGAGGCCAAUGAAGCCACCAAGAUGAAAUGGUGGAAAUGGGGAAGUGACCUCUCAUGCCACAUUAGCAUAUUGGAGCCCUCCUCUAUUCACCCCAUGAUGUGAAUGCUUUUACCUUGAGAUGAGUAGAAGAUAUCAGGGGCCAUCUCUCCUUUGUUAGAGUAAUAAAAGUAGUGGCAGACUUGAUAAAGUAGCAUCAAAGUAGCCAAAACAAUCAACACAAGGAUUACUAGAGCAUGUAUGGCAUUAAUAUAAGUAUGGUGCUACUAAUUGCAUGACUUCUACAGGUCAUUAAUCUUGUGUAUCAUGACAAUUUAAGUAUUUAACCAUAGGACCAAAAGUCUCAGUCAAAUUAGGUAUCAACAAAGGAAAUACCAGGUGAGUUAUUAUGAGUAAUUCAAGAUCCUUAUAAACAUUUAUAAUCCAUUUAUUUGCAUGAAAAUAUACAACAAAUAUUAUCCUGCAAGACUUUGGCCAGGUGAAAGAACAGGGUUUAAGAGGAACAACUGACUUCCUACCUCUACAAGAAAUUUCAGAAAGGGCUCCGCUUGUGCCAUGAGUGGCUUGAAACAUUUAUUUUAGUGAUAUAUACCAUAGAGAAGUUCUUACACAGAAGCUUAAACACCAAGAGCAUGCAUACAUGGCUAACACAUAAGGAGCAUUGCAGACAUUCAAGAUAGAACAAUUAGAUAUAGUGUUGGAAAUGAAAACCUCAAGAUGAUGGCAAACAUUAUCCAUGUCAAUUGUCGGAACACCUUUGCACCAAACUUUACAAACUCGUUGACGCUUCCAAUGUGAAUGUAUCAACUCCAACAUAUUAUGGGUUAGCCCAUCCCUUCCUACACCAUUCAAUCAUAAACAAUCAACAAAACUCCAACAUGUAUACAUCGUGCAUACUCUCUUUUCUCUUUAAUAUAUUUUCAUUUACUUACAAAAAAAAAUCAACAAAACUCCAGCAUGUAAUUAAGCCAAUGGAAGUACUAACUAGAUAACAAUAAUUUUACAAUCUCAUACCUACAACAAAUUUUCAGAGGAAGAAAAGCAACAUGAAUCACUGAAAUUGAAGUUCAAAAUACGGAUAACUCACCGAGAUUAACCUGGCGAUUAUGAGACAAAUAGGGUUUAACAAGCAUCCGUAUUUCUGCCUUGCUCAAUGGCUCUCCGAGUAUCUCCUCCCUCGUCCUCCCUUCCACGGGAAACUUCCCAAGCGGAAACGGCCCUGGCAUUUCCACACGCUUCACCCCCUUGGUUCCCGGCGGAGGCGGAUUAAAGGAAUCAAAGAGUGGAAUCUUCUUCUUGGAUUUCUUCAAUGGCGCCUUCCCAGUCCACGGCCUUGGCAUUGUGGGCGGAGCAAAGGGCAAGAAUGCCGGCUCCCGGAUUGCCAAGGGCUUAGCUUUGGGGGUCUCGGAGUAACUGAACUGGAACUCGAAUGGUGCUCCAGCGAGGAGAUAUGACACGCCGGAUUCGCCGAUGACGACGGAGCGGUCACCAUCCGAUGCGAUAACGCCAUCGGAGACGGGCUUGUAAUAUUUGGAACGGUGAUGAACGGUUUUGAAGGCGGGAGUGGAGGGUUUAGUUGGAGGUCUUGGGGACUUUUGGGAUUUGAGAGGUGGUGGGUAUUUGGGAAUUGGGAUGGGCGGCUGAGGAGGUGUUGAUGUGGUGGAGGCAUUUGGAGGAGGGCCUUGAGGGAGAGAGGAGAAGAGGCUAGAAGAACCUGGUAGUGUUGCCAGAAUCACCAUCGAAGAAGGCUUAAUUCAUCUGAUGACACUGAAAGUUCGAGUUUUCUUCUGGUUUUUCAGUUUUGGGGAGCCAACAGAUAUAUCUUAGGCUGGGACAACGGUGAAACGACGUCGUUUUUCCCAGUUUAAAGGAUAUGCCAAUUUUCUUAUCAUCGGAGGUGUCCAAAGCCCGCAUCCGCAUCAACCCUCGUAGACUCGCAGCUCAGCGCUAGACAAACUCCACUGUAUAGUAAAUGGCUCUGUUCAACAUGAUUAUCAUCUAUAACCGCCCUUUUUCUGUUGGCCUAUUCAUACUUAGAUGAUAUAUGGAUGCCAUGAAUCCACUGUGAAUUUGUCAUCAUUUUGUUUUCAUUUCAUUUUCGACCAUGGACGUGGUAUUUUUUUGAGAAUAAUGUUAAAAAGUGUGAUUAACUUUUUUCUGUCCUAUUUUUGGGUGUUUCGUAUGGUGUUGGAUUAAUUUUACCUUUUGUGAUUGGAUUUCUAGUCUGGAAAAUCUGCCAUUCCCAUUCCUCAAGGAUUUUGGAAUUUAUAUUCACCAACCCAAUUUGACUCUGUUCAUGUUGCUCUUUGACUCAUCUUGUCCUGUCAAUUCCUUUGCAGUGAAGAUGCUUAGAAAAAUAGCUUAUCUUCUGGUGGGGAAUCUGCCAAAUUAUUUUUAAUCAGAGUAGUCUUUGUUUUAAACUAGUACAACUUCUUGCUAGUAAGAUUUUUUUCCACUUAGAUGUGGGUGGAAGACUACCUGGUUGAUCAAUAUUUGUCAUUAUCCGAUACCUCAAAAGCAAUUAUCAUCUUCUCUAGUAAUCUUCAACCACAAACAAUUUGGAAAAGAGUAAGAGCCUAAGAGAGAAUUUAAAAUGUAUGAGUUAAGAGGCAUAAAGAGAAUUUUGAAUCGAAAUUGCCAAUACACAAUGAGAAUUUAUUGAUUGGUUUGGCUUGUGAAUGAUAUUAUAAUUCAUCAUCAAUUAAUAUUGUAUAAGUCCAUAAUAUUUGACCACGAUGGAGUGGUAAAAUAAUUUAUAUUUUGAAAUAAUGAUUUUAUGUAAAAAGUUUAUAUUAAAUAUUACAUUUGCAAAAUAUUAUGAAAUAUUAAUUGAAGUUAAAGAGUAGUCUUUAAUUAGACAAUUAAAUCCAUAUUUUACCAAUUAAAUGGACCUAUGAUGACAGAUUAAAUAAAUUACAUCAUAAAGUUAAAAUUACAAUCAAAUAGCACCAUUAUUAGCGAAACUUCAACUAAUCAUUUUGUAAUAUGAUCAAAAUUCAAUAUUUAUUGAAUAUGAAUGUUGUAAAAUAGUUAAAUAUGAUUGACUAUUUAACUUUUUCAUAUGGAUUCAUCUUCAUCCUUUCGUCCUCUGCUGCUCUUCUUCAUUCCAUUCAAGUGAAAACACUUUGUCUCGUCCAAAUGAAAACAAAAAUUUCUUUUUCAUUAUUACAGGAGAUAGAACAAUAGGAACAAUAUAGAACUACUUACCGUUCGUGACCCUUAGACACAAGGGUCACUCACUCGUUUACCAAAAGGGAAAUAUAUAUUCUAAUUUCUAUAGUCAUUCCUUACCAUUUGUGCCCCAUAGGAACAAUAAAUAUAUAUCUUUAUUUUGAUUAAAUCACUACCAUUGAAAUUUUGGUUUUUAUAGAUGAUAUUUUAUAAAUAAAAAUAAAUUUAAUAAGGCAAAUUAUUAAUAAUUUUAAUUAUUUAAAUAAAUUAAUAUUAAUAGAAAAAGUUGUUACCACAUAUUUUUAAUAAAAUUUUAGAAAUUAAAUCUCAAAAUAAAUAUUUUAUAUAAAUUAAUUUAAUUUUUCAUUUAAAAUGUAAUAAAAUUACAUUUACAAAAUAACUUUAAAAUGUGUAUUCUUAUUUAUUUUAUCAUUUUUUGGCGUUUUUCUAAGCAUUUUUAUGAAUUUUAAAUAAUUUUUGCUCCAUUGAUAUUUAUGAAAAAAUAUCCACCGAUAUUUGUGAAAAAAUAUCCGCCGAUAUUUUUUCAAUAUUUUCAAUAUAUCCAUAAAAUCGAAAUACUGAUGUAUGCGUAGUUACCGAUAUUUUCAUUUUCUUCAUAAUUUGAAUUAUUAAUCUUUAAUAGUUUUAUUGGGAAAAAAGUCAUGAAAUAUCAUCAAUAUAUUAUUAAAAUAAUUUAAAAUUUUUGGACAACUUAGAUGUUCUCCAUUUUUUUCUAUAUGAUAAUCAUAUGCAUGAAUUUGAUUUAUAUUAAUUUACCUAUUUUUAUAUGAUUAAAUUUAAAUAUUUUAUCUCACAAUGCUUAAAUUAUGAAUUUAUAAUAGCAUAAAAAAAUUAAUUAUAAUUCAUUGUUACCUUUCCCUUUAAUUUUCUACUCUAAAAAUCAAUAAUUUUAAAGAAUUAACUUAUCAUUACCAUUUUUGACAAAAUAAUUUUUUUUUAUAGAAACUAAACAAAUGGAAAGAUAUUCUUGUAUAAAAAAUAAUUUUUUUUUAAAAAAAAUAUUCUUAUUUCAAUUAUUAUUUUAUCAUGUAAGGUCUACAAUUUUAUUUUUUUAAAUAAUAUUUUAAUCCCAUUUAACUUUGACACAAAUAAUUUUUACUAAUAUCUCUUUAGAAUUAUAAAAUAAAAGAGAUAAAGAUACAGAAGUUACCCUUGAAAGGAAUUCUAUGUAUUAGGAAAAGAAAUUUCAAAAACUUUUGAUCAAAUCCAUUCCUUUUAAAAAAGAAAUUUUGGGAUUUUGGGACUGAAUUAUUCUCUAUUUUUAUGGAAAUUGAAUGGAGAAAUAAUAAAAUUUAGAAAAUCGGGAAACUAGGAUGGGAAGGAAAGAAACACAAUAAAAAGGGAAAACGAGAGAAAGAAACAAAGGGUGGAGGAAAAAAAAAGAAGCUUUUUGGAGUCUUGAUUUUUCUUCUGCUUUCAGAGUAAUCCUUCUUCGUUAUCGCUGAUCAUCAGCCCCGCCGCUGCAAUCGCUGUUCAUCAGUAGCACCGUCGCCACUGCAGCAGAAAUCCAACCCUGACAGGUUUUGUAUUUGGUUUUUAGUUGUUAUUUUAAAUAAAAUCCACACAAUGGAGUAGUCCCAAGAACGUAUUGAUACGUAACAAACAUACUUCUUGCUCUUUAUUUAUUUUUUAUACUCGUUUCUUUCUCUUUCCACAGAAUGAGUUAUACUGAUUGGAGUAAGUUACCAAAAGAAUUAAUAGAGCUAAUUUUCGAUGAGCUAUAACAUGCGGGAGACAUAAUUCGGUUUGGAACUGUAUGUAGGUUUUGGGGUUUGGUUGCUUUGGAGGCAAGGCAACAAGUCUUCAAGCCUUUGAGACCUUUGAGUCCGAUGUUGUUACUGCCUCCUAAUAAGGAUGAUGAAGCCCACAAACUCUAUGAUUUCUUUAAGAAGAAGGCUUAUAAAAUUCAAAUUCCAGCUAUGCGCGAUAAAUGGUGUUGCAACUCAUGGAAUGGGUGGUUAAUCGCAAUCAAUCACACUUUCCCUUAUGAAAUAUGUUGUUUAAAUCCGAUUUCAGGUGUGCAAAUCGAUCUACCUCCGGCAAUAACUUUUGAAAAUUCUCCCCCUGACCUUGAUGAAACACCAAUUGAAUUUUUCUUGAACAAGGUUGUUCUGUCUUCUACUCCUUCUCCUUCAAAUGCCAAUUGUGUCAUUAUGGCUAUUCAUAGUAAUUAUAACAAAUUGGCAUUUUGCAAACUGGGUGAUAAGCGGUGGAUUACUUUAAAAAGUGAAGAUAUUCAAUAUAAGGACCUUUUAUAUUAUAAGGACAAUUUUUAUGCAAUAGGAAGGUCGAAAGUUGUACAAUGUGAUAUUGGCGAUGAUCCAAGGGUUAUACCAUUCGCACUACUCCCUAAGAUGGGAUACUUUCAGUAUAGAUAUUUAGUAGAGUCAUCCGACUGCCUUCUAUAUGUGUUGAGAUAUAUGGAUUUGAAGGAUCAAGAAGAUCCUUUAAAGUUGCGGUAUGAAACAACAGGUUUUAAGGUAUUUGAUUUGGAUUCGGAUAAAAGGAAGUUCUCAUAUCGGUAUGAAACAACAACAUUUAAGGUGUAUAAUUUUGACUUCGAUCAAAAGAAGUGGAAGCUUUUAAAAAACAUAAAGGAGAAGGCCCUAUUAUUAGGGCAUAACCAAGCUAUUUCGAUAUCUACUAAAAAAUUUGAUGGAUUUAAAAGCAAUCAUAUCUACUUUUUGGAUGACUAUAAGGAAGGUUACUUUGAAAAUACAUAUGGUUGCCAUGAUAUGGGAGUUUUUAACAUAAAAACUCAUCUCUUUAAGCCCAUUUUUCAUCGUACUCAAUUGUGGGCAUCUCCACUAUUUUGGAUGAGACCUGAACUUUCUUUACAUUGAAAUAUUGUACUACCGUUGUUAUAUUUUAUAAUAAUUCUUUUUUAACCUUUUAUAUUUCUUGUAAUAAUUUUUGUCUUUUUAUUUUAAGUAUCUAAUCUUGUUUUUUUUUUAGUGGGGAUUACCCUCUUAUGUGCAUAAGGUUUUUGGAACUCAAAAACCCAAUUAUGUCAUAGACUUCAAUGUUUGAAGGUUGAGAAAAUUUGUGGUGUAUUUUAGAAUUUGUAUGACUCUAUGAUAAAUGAUUUAUUAUGUAUUCAACUAAUUUAUAAUCAUAAAUUAAAUUUAUAUGAUAGCUAAUAAAAUUAAGAAUGUGAAAUCCAGUGCUUGUGUCAAAUAUUUAGCAAUACAUAUUUUGCAAUUUUUAUUAUGCAUAUUAGAUUUUAUCAAUUCUUAAUAUAAAAAAUAUAUAUAAUAUAAGAUUAUUGUUAUGCAAUUUUUUUUUUAAAGUUGAAAACUAUGGGUGCAAAUUGGGUGAAUUGGUCUAAUAAAACCUGAAUUAACCUAAAUAUUUUACAUUAUAUUUUUGNNNNNNNNNNNNNNNNNNNNNNNNNNNNNNNNNNNNNNNNNNNNNNNNNNNNNNNNNNNNNNNNNNNNNNNNNNNNNNNNNNNNNNNNNNNNNNNNNNNNNNNNNNNNNNNNNNNNNNNNNNNNNNNNNNNNNNNNNNNNNNNNNNNNNNNNNNNNNNNNNNNNNNNNNNNNNNNNNNNNNNNNNNNNNNNNNNNNNNNNNNNNNNNNNNNNNNNNNNNNNNNNNNNNNNNNNNNNNNNNNNNNNNNNNNNNNNNNNNNNNNNNNNNUUUACCAUUUCUUAACUGAUCAUCUUCCAGACUCUACGGUACACUUGUUAUGGUAAUAACGAGGAACAAGAUAUCCCAAGCCAACCGCACCACAUCUUUCUCUUCACCUUCAUUCCUCACCAAGCUGCUUAGCUAACAGAUCAACAGGUAAGGAACCCAGUGGAACUGGUGAUUCCAUCUCUUCCAAUGACUCAUUCACCAAGUAUUCAUCAUCAUCAUCAUUGUACAUCUCAUCUUCACUAUAAUCCUCACUAUUAUAACCUUCAUGCUCUGCCUUUGUACCACCAGUUCCAUCUUCACUUGACAUCACUAAAGCUGGAUAGGAGUGCUCGGUGGCCUGUGAAAUGCCUUCAAAUUCCUCUACUACCUUCAAGCUGUGGUUUCCCCUAUUCUUCACAUUUGUUCCCUCAAAUUAAUUGAUUAGGCCUGAUCACCUGGAUAAUCCCAGAAAAAAUAUUGCCCACUUCCUUUAUUUUGGGAAAAAAAUGUGGUUUGUCCCACUGUUGCUUCCAAUAUCUCCUCACUAGCCUUGUGUCUUAAUGGAGAACAAUCCUUCCAAAAUGGCCUUUGAAACAGGAUAAAUUAGAAAUUCCCUCAGUUUUUCAGUUUUUCUUCAAGGAAAUAGACUCAGUUUGGUGUCUAUUCAAUUAUUUUGUUCAGUAAUGCUUUGUAGUUUUUACAUUUUAUUAUUAAGUUUUGUGAGACUAAUGAGAUUAUUCAUCAGACAUAUUACUCUUACACCAUACAAAAUGGAAUGGCAGAGAGGGAAAAAAGAGAUUUUGUGGAAUUUAUCUAUUUACUUCUUUUUCAUAUGCAGGUUUCAAAAAGGUUUCGAGAAGAUGCUGCCCUGAUGGGUUGUUUUCUUUUAAUUGUGUCCCAUUGAGUGUCAGUGGUAAUAACUCCUAUUCAGAUACAUGUGCUUUUGGCAUAACGAGUCAGUAGGUUCAGAUAAGUUUUCUUCUUGAGCCACAAAGCGUCAUCUUUGAGCAUUCCACAUCUCAAAAGGUAACAAAUAUUGCAAGUAACCCUAUGUUUUGUGAAUGCACUAAACAUUGUCAUUUCAUUCAAGAUGUAGUGAUGAAAGAUUACGUAGGCAUUGAAAAUUUUUAUACUACAUCUUGAGGAGUAAUGAAGUUUAUAAAUGAGGGGAUUAUUGUACUUUUUGUAAUAAGGUUAUCAUGACUCAUGACUCAUGAGAGUGCAGCGUAUAUAUUUUGCUGCAUCUCUAUUUUUCAGAAGAUUAAUCAAAUUUAGAGAACAUCACCUCAUCUCUUCUUCUUUCACCUUUUCUAACAAAGGUUUUGUUGUAUUUGUGAUAGAGGUUUAAUAUUUCCAAGUUUUAUUGUGCUUAUUUAAUUUUUCUCGGCCGAUGAAGCUCAGAAUUAUGAAUCAAUAAUAAGAAACUGGAACAAAGAAACCAAACAAGUCAAUGGGAUUAAAGAAUUUAUGCUUGCAAAGUUCAGCUUGAAACUGUUGCCAGUAAGAAAUGGAACUAGAAUAAGCCAAAAGACAAGAUCAGUGAGCAUCACAGCACCUGCACACAUCUGUUCACCAAAGAAAAAGAAAGCCAAUGACAAAGAAAAUUUUCAACAUUUUGCUUCUUAAGUAUUGAAACCAACCACCCAAUAACAAAAUUAUACUCUUAAUGUCUAAUUUCAUUUCAACACCAAAAGGAAAUGGAGAAUCUUUAGUGAAAAUACAAUCAAAAGUAUCAAUUCAGCAAUAAAAAAUCAGGAUGUGUAUGAGCAAUAUAAGAGAUGGGAGUAUGACUGCAAGAAAAGGUUUAGCAGUCAUAAGGUUAAUAUAAUCAAUCACAGGCACUGAUGUUUAUCCGCACUCUAUCAAGUGUAUCCAUAUUUCAUAGGUUUGGUGUUGCAAUGCCCCUUGGUCCAAGGCUCCAGCACUUCAAUAUUUUCAAAUGGAAGUUCGUAAAAAUUUUCUGGUCUACCAGUAACUAUGAGUGCUUGGUUUUUGUAAACUCAUAUAAAAGCUAGCAAGAUUAAGACAUUAGUUGUAAGUCAAAUUUUGAAAUGCAAACAUACACCAACAUAUCAACCCUGUUAUAGCCUACAAUAAAACCUAGUUAUAUGAUUGUGCUUAAGGGACUACAUGGUUUUGCAUUAGGAGGCAUAGAAAUUUAUACGGUUUUAUCCAUCUGUAGUUUGCCAAAAUGUAAUUCUUUGCUAAGUUAGAUUUAUCUGGAACUCAAAUUGCAAUAUUAAAUAUGAAGAAUGAGUGUUCAUGGAACUUAUUUUUUCAUGAAAAUGUUAUAAAGUUCAUUAUUUGAGCAUAUUAAAAUUUUGUGCAUCCGCAUUUUUUUUUUUGCCUUUUGCCUUUCCUGUAAUAUACAAAAAUAGAUAUUUAUAAACAACAUAAAACACAACUUGGUUAAGUUAAUGAGAAGGGUCCAGCUCUCUGGCCUCACUGAUCUCCAUCAACAUCUGUUGUACUAUAAAGAAGAGAAAAAUGAACCAAUUACUAACAUGGGUUUCCAAAUGUAUGAGAUCAAGCAUACAGAAUACAGUAAUUCAUAAGCAAAUAUUGGGAAAUGAAAAAGAAACCAGGGAGCAAAGAAAUUUUCAUUUGUUGUUUUCCCAUAAAACUGGCAUCUUAUUAUUGGGAGAAAGUUUACCUGAAAGAUAAUCUGAAAUGCGUAAAUCCACAUUCUGGCAGUUUUCCGAACAUGAGAUUGCUCAUAGGUACCAAAGUUCUUGGACAUGUUGGAUGUAUUAGCAUUUUCCCUGAGUGUGGGAGCUAUGUAGGAACCUUGCUCUGCAUCCCAACCCUCAUAAUCAACCCUAUCAAUACCAGCUUUAUUGCGAUAUAGGCGAUAUCCACAAAUGGAGCAAGAAGUUCCGAGCUACAAAUUGAGGAUGAGAGCAUAAGCAACAUAUACAAAAAUAAUUGAGGUACACUGAAAACUUGAAAAUUAAGGAACCAGUAUACAACAAAAAAUCCAUCCAAAAUAAAAAAAUUGAGAAAUAAAUCAACUCUUAUUUUGGGACUCAACACACCUCUGGGCAACAGAAUAACAAUUAAUUCCUAUUUAACAUCUAUGAACAAGAAGAUUUAAAUAGGAAAAAAAAAUCAAGUUGCUUGAGUCCAUAGAAUAAAACAAAGGACAAAUUCGAAUAUCUCUAUCAAAUUUUACACUACAAUACAUAGAUAGAUUCAGCCCAGAAGGCUGUAACAGUUAAAAGAUUAUACCGCAAAAUAGAUGGUGACCAAUGCAAACGUCCACCUGUUCAGAAGAAGAAAACAGAAAAGAAAAACACCAUUUACUUCAUAAGAAAUUUCUCCAAACCGGGAUUUGUUCGAUGAGCACAUCAUUUCCACCUUAUGAGUAUAGAGAUGAACCAAUAAAGGUAGAUAACUUACUGAGUAUAAAAGUAAAAUAUACCACCUCCAUCAAUUACGAUGUUGGCAGUGAGCAAUGUGAAUAGAGUAAUAAAAGCAAUCAUUCGAUAACCAAGAAGGCAACCAGGAUGGAUUUCUUUCAGACAUGUACUCCAAGUUUCAUCCUCAUACAGAGACCCUGCUGUUUCUUUCUGAUUUUCUCUUCUCCUGGCUUUUGUUUUGUUGAAACCUUCAUAUUUCCAUACUAAUAUUGAUGCUACAAUCAUCAUUGAUAAGAGCCAAAUUGCACAGAGGAAGAACCUCCAGUUCAACCAAUAACUUAAGGAGGUUGUAUCGUCAGCCAUGAUUGGCUGCCAGGAAUGCUUUGAGGAUCCUGUCAAGAAAUUCAUGGUGUUAGUUCUACUUGCUGAACUGGUCAAUCCAUUUUCAGGAAAAUCACUGAUUCAUGUCCACAUCCUUCUUCCGGAAGGAAAAGUGAAAUACUGUAUUGGCUUUACUUUAAUCAAAUACAGACAAUUUGCAAAUGAAUGAUGUGUCAGAAAAGGUGUUUGGAAAAUGUUCACAGUUCUGAAAAAGAUUUAAAAAGAAAAAAAGAGCAAGAAAAAGGAAAAUCUUUCAAACAAUAUGCAUAUGGCUUUUUUGUUUACAAAGGACACUGGCAGGCUUGUCAAUGACAGGAAAAACAGAACCCUAACCAUCACCACAAACGAAUUUCCGCAGGAUGAAAGCAUCUAGUUAUAGUCAAAACACCGAAUCCAAGGGAAGUCUUAGAGGAAUAACCCUAAAUAUCGAAUUAUCACAAAAAAAAAAAAAAAAAAAACAACAACAGCUGCAAAAUAUGGAAUUAUAUUGAAAUCAUAUAUAGAACCUCCCACAAAAAUGAAAUAACGGGAGUCAACACACUGAACAAACCAAAAAAAAUUAUCGAACAAGAAGAAAGAAGUAUCAAUAAAUAGUAAUUGGGAGAGGAACCCAUAUCUCAAAAUCCCAUCACAGCCACCAUACACGAAAGUACAGCUCGCUUAUGGACUCAACCCUUUCCAAUUCCCGUAAGACCCGUCAAUUCCAAGGGGAAAGAAAGGGUGUGUGAGAAUGUUUACGGUUCAUAAUGAAUUGAAUUACCUUUUCAAAUGAGAUGCUGUGGUUGGAGGAAUGAAGAUUGAGCGUAGAACCCUUUACCCCUGUUCUACUUCUAUGCGAUAGAAAGAGGAAUUACUUUAUUUGUUUUUCCUGUUUUUGCUUUGAAUUAGGAGGGAGUCCAGUUUGCCGAGAAUUUCAUUAAAACGCGUAUCCAGUAAGGACUCGUUUGUUAGCAGUUAGCACCCGAUUUCUUUGAAUUUACCGCCCAUCCAAAAAGCAGGAUGUUCUCGAAUUUUGAUUUAUAUUAAUUUACCUGUUUUUAUAUGAUUAAAAUUCAAUAUUUUAUCUCACAAUGCUUAAAUCAUGAAUUUAUAAUAGCAUAAAAAAAUUAAUUAUAAUUCAUUCUUACCUUUCCCUUUAAUUUUCUACUCUAAAAAUCAAUAAUUUUAUCAUUACCAUUUUUGACAAAAUAAUUUUUUUUAUAGAAACUAAGCAAAUGGAAAGAUAUUCUUAUAUAAAAAAUAAAAAUUUAAUUUUUUUUAAAAAAAAUCUUAUUUCAAUUAUUAUUUUAUCAUGGAAGGUCUACAAUUUUAUUUUUUUUAAAUAAUAUUUUAAUUCCAUUUAACUUUGACACAAAUAAUUUUUACUAAUAUCUCUUUAGAAUUAUAAAAUAAAAGAGAUAAAGAUACAGAAUUUACCCCUGAAAGGAAUUCUAUCUAUUAGGGAAAGAAAUUUCUAAAACUUUUGAUCAAAUUGAUUCCUUUUAAAAAAGAAAUUUUGGGAUUUUGGGACUGAAUUAUUCUCUAUUUUUAUGGAAAUUGAAUGGAGAAAUAAUAAAAUUUAGAAAAUGGGGAAACUAGGAUGGGAAGGAAAGAAACACAAUAAAAAGGGGAAACGAGAGAAAGAAACAGAAGGUGGAGGAAAAAAAAAAAAGAAGCCUUUUGGAGUCUUGAUUUUUCUUCUGCUUUCAGAGUAAUCCUUCUUCGUUAUCGCUGAUCAUCAGCCCCGCCGCUGCAAUCGCUGUUCAUCAGUAGCACCGUCGCAACUGCAGCAGAAAUCCAGCCCUGACAGGUUCUGUAUUUGGUUUUUAGUUGUUAUUUUAAAUAAAAUCCACACAAUGGAGUAGUCCCAAGAACGUAUUGAUACGUAACAAACAUACUUCUUGCUCUUUAUUUAUUUUUUAUACUCGUUUCUUUCUCUUUCCACAGAAUGAGUUAUACUGAUUGGAGUAAGUUACCAAAAGAAUUAAUAGAGCUAAUUUUCGAUGAGCUACAACAUGCGGGAGACAUAAUUCGGUUUGGAACUGUAUGUAGGUUUUGGGGUUUGGUUGCUUUGGAGGCAAGGCAACAAGUCUUCAAGCCUUUGAGACCUUUGAGUCCGAUGUUGUUACUGCCUCCUAAUAAGGAUGAUGAAGCCCACAAGCUCUAUGAUUUCUUUAAGAAGAAGGCUUAUAAAAUUCAAAUUCCAGCUAUGCGCGAUAAAUGGUGUUGCAACUCAUGGAAUGGGUGGUUAAUCACAAUCAAUCACACUUUCCCUUAUGAAAUAUGUUGUUUAAAUCCGAUUUCAGGUGUGCAAAUCGAUCUACCUCCGGCAAUAACUUUUGAAGAUUCUCCUCCUGACCUUGAUGAAACACCAAUUGAAUUUUUCUUGAACAAGGUUGUUCUGUCUUCUACUCCUUCUCCUUCAAAUGCCAAUUGUGUCAUUAUGACUAUUCAUAGUAAUUAUAAGAAGUUGGCAUUUUGCAAACCGGGUGAUAAGCGGUGGAUUACUUUAAAAAGUGAAGAUAUUCAAUAUAAGGACCUCUUAUAUUAUAAGGACAAUUUUUAUGCAAUAGGAAGGUCGAAAGUUGUACAAUGUGAUAUUGGCGAUGAUCCAAGGGUUAUACCAUUCGCACUACUCCCUAAGAUGGGAUACUUUUAGUAUAGAUAUUUAGUAGAGUCAUCCGGCUGCCUUCUAUAUGUGUUGAGAUAUAUGGAUUUGAAGGAUAACGAAGAUCCUUUAAAGUUGCGGUAUGAAACAACAGGUUUUAAGGUAUUUGAUUUGGAUUCGGAUAAAAGGAAGUUCUCAUAUCGGUAUGAAACAACAACAUUUAAGGUGUAUAAUUUUGACUUCGAUCAAAAGAAGUGGAAGCUAGUAAAAAACAUAAAGGAGAAGGCCCUAUUAUUAGGUCAUAACCAAGCUAUUUCGAUAUCUACUAAAAAAUUUGAUGGAUUUAAAAGCAAUCAUAUCUACUUUUUGGAUGACUAUAAGGAAGGUUACUUUGAAAAUACAUAUGUUUGCCAUGAUAUGGGAGUUUUUAACAUAAAAACUCAUCUCUUUAAGCCCAUUUUUCGUUGUACUCAAUUGUGGGCAUCUCCACUAUUUUGGAUGAGACCUGAACUUUCUUUACAUUGAAAUAUUGUACUACCGUUGUUAUAUCUUAUAAUAAUUCUUUUUUAACCUUUUAUAUUUCUUGUAAUAAUUUUUGUCUUUUUAUUUUAAGUAUCUAAUCUUGUUUUUUUAGUGGGGAUUACCCUCUUAUUAUGUGCAUAAGGUUUUUGGAACUCAAAAACCCAAUUAUGUCAUAGACUUCAAUGUUUGAAGGUUGAGAAAAUUUUUGGUGUAUUUUAGAAUUUGUAUGACUCUAUGAUAAAUGAUUUAUUAUGUAUUCAACUAAUUUAUAAUCAUAAAUUAAAUUUAUAUGAUAGCUAAUAAAAUUAAGAAUGUGAAAUCCAAUGCUUGUGUCAAAUAUUUAGCAAUACAUAUUAUGCAAUUUUUAUUAUGCAUAUAAGAUUUUAUCAAUUCUUAAUAUAAAAAAUAUAUAUGUAAUAUAAGAUUUUUGUGAUGCCAUUUUUAUUUUUUUUUUAAGUUGAAAACUAUGGGUGCAAAUUGGGUGAAUUGGUCUAAUAAAACCUGAAUUAGCCUAACAAAUUAAUGAUAUUUUACAUUAUAUUUUUUAACAUAAUUAGAAGAUGCAUGCUAAAAAUAUUAUCAUGGUUAAAAAUAAUAUUGUCUUUUACAAACAAUUUAUCUUAUACACUUGCAUUAUACAAUAAAAAUUAUAAUGCUAGUGAAAUUGCCCAAAUUGAACAUUUCCUUUAUUUCAUUUCAUCAUUAAACUUUUAUCCAAAUUUAUACAAUACGAAUACAAUUAUACAAGGAAUCAAUUAGUCAAAUAAAUUUGCAUUUCUUACCCCUAAACUUUACCAUUUCUUAACUAAUCAUCUUCCAGACUCUACGGUACGCUUGUUAUGGUAAUAAUGAGGAACAAGAGAUCCCAAGCCAACCGCACCACAUCUUUCUCUUCACCUUCAUUCCUCACCAAGCUGCUUAGCUAACAGAUCAACAGGUAAGGAACCCAGUGGAACUGGUGAUUCCAUCUCUUCCAAUGACUCAUUCACCAAGUAUUCAUCAUCAUCAUCAUCAUUGUACAUCUCAUCUUCACUAUAAUCCUCACUAUUACAACCUUCAUACUCUGCCUUUGUACCACCAGUUCCAUCUUCACUUGACAUCACUAAAGCUGGAUAGGAGUGCUCGGUGGCCUGUGAAAUGCCUUCGAAUUCCUCUACUAUCUUCAAGCUGUGUCUUCCCCUAUUCUCCACAUUUGUUCCCUCAAAUUAAUUGAUUAGGCCUGAUCACCUGGAUAAUCCCAGAAAAAAUAUUGUCCACUUCCUUUAUUUUGGGAAAAAGUGUGGUUUGUCCCACUGUUGCUUCCAAUAUCUCCUCUCUAGCCUUGUGUCUUAAUGGAGAACAAUCCUUCCAAAAUGGCCUUUGAAACAGGAUAAACUCUUGGGCUUUCUGUUUGGAACUUUGAAAGAACAAUCAAUAGGGAAGAUUCUUUGUUCAUCUUGUGACAAUCAACAGGGAAGAUUUUUUGUUCAUCUUGUCCUUCCUGCUAUCCAAAUGGAGCCUUUAAGUUGUGGAUGUCCAUCUUUUUUACUACCUUGUUGAUUUUGGCUGUAUCCACUAUGGAUGUAGGAAUUAUAGACUUGGAUCCCACAAUGGUCCCCUACUCCAUUAUCUUCUUGUAAAGGUAGCUUUCCUGCUAAGGAGCUCUUCUUCUGUUUAAAGAGUUUCUUCUCUUGUUACCC